rnacentral:rRNA from 1 species
CCAGAUGGCCUAAAUACCCUAAAGGCACCAGAGCCUGUUUGAUCUUGGAAGCUAAGCAGGGUUAGCCCAAUUAGUACUUUGAUUGGAGACAACCAAUUAAUACCAGGUGCUCUAGGCU